rnacentral:sRNA from 1 species
AUUUAGCCCCGAUUGAAGGGAAAAUCCUUUUUUUUUUGUUAAAAACUUUCGUUUUAAAAGCAACUUUACUAAAAAAAAGAUUGGAAUGAAAGCGGGUUUUAUU